UGUCCCCUUUCCUCUCCAAAUGCAGUGCGUGUUAUUAAAAAAAAGGUAAUUAGUGGACAUACAAGCAGAACAGAUUUUAAAAAGCGACUGGUAACACGACCAGCUUUCAGAAAAAAAAACCCUGCAAUGAAAAUGGCCCUCUCUCUCUGUUAAUAAAGAAGAGGGUUAUUUUAUGCCCAGAUUCCUAAUCCUACCCUGAAAAUGAACAAAUCCUGCCACUCCCAUAUGGUAUAAUGUCUCAGAAAGACCAGGAGUAUUAAGAUUUACAACAGAAGUCCACUUCGUACAUAAAGUCUGCAGGAUUUGAGCAGGAAUGUUGAGUUUGGCUACCACAGCAGCAGCAGCAGCAGCAGCAGUAGCUGGGUUUCUCCUUUGAGAUGCACCAGCCAGGUCCUGUGCUGUACUCUAGCGUGCCAGCCUGCCACCACCGUCCCCACUCAGCCAGCCAUUUUCUCUUGGCACAGUCUGGGUUUGACGAAAACAACAACACCAGUGACAAGCGCAAAGAGAACAGAGCCACGCUGCGGACUAGGCAAGGAGCUGGUUUGCUGAGAAUUUCUUCGGGAUGCUGAGAGGAAACCUGGAACACAUCUUCUAACCCUUACCAUUCUCUCUCAUCUGCAGUCUGCACCCAGGUCACCUGGACUGAUUGCAUUGCAUUGGAAUGAGUCUGAACUACAACUCCAGAAGUGAUGAGGUACCAGAAAUCAACAGCAGUAACUUUUCAUCCACAGCGUCGCCUUUGAAAUACCUGUACGUUCCAAAUUGAAGUAUAAAAUACAAGCAACUACCCAAAAGAUAUUCAACAAAAAAAGAAGGGGAACAGUGACAGUCCUGCUAGUGCAAAUAAGAGGAAAUAAAAUAGAUUUCAAAACCUUGGCUAUAGCCCGUCUUAAAGUCUGUGGUGGUAAAAAUCAAUUUCCCUUUAAUUUGGUAUUGUUUUCCGCAGUGAUUAAGACGUCACCUGGGUGCUGUAUAUUGUAAUUAUGUUAUACUUUUAUAAAAUAAUUGUAGCUUUCACAUAAAGUCACAAAGAAACCUGAAUGCCUUCAUUUUGUUUCUUUGUAACCAAAUAGUCACAAAAGCACAGUGAAAUAAUGGUAAAGCAUAAGCAUUGUAAAGCACAGAGAGGUCUGGUAAAGUAUAUUUAAAAGAACAUGGCAAAGUGCAAAAAUACUGUGGUAAACAUUUAAAAGGUAAGGGCUCGAACCAGUUAAUUAGUAAUAAGCCUUCCCACCUUAACAGAAGCAACAGGACAGGCAGCCACAGUGACCCUUAGUCCACCAUGCUGUGGAUGUUUCUAGCAAGACAAUGUCUCUGCAGGACUCCCUGAGGGUCAGAAACAUUCCAGGUAGAGCACACUGUGUACUCUGAAGCAGUCAGGACAGCCAGCAGCGGCUUCAUUAAAGAAAACAGGCAGCUGUGUGAAGGAAACAGAAGGCUCCCCCAGGGGACACUGGCACCGCUGCUCCUGUAAGGGUGGACAGAACAGACACAGCCUCAUUCCAGGACCUUCCUACCACUGGACACUCCCAAAACCCUGGCAGAUCAGUGCCCACACACCUGGUGGAGCGAGCUUGUUUGAUUUCUACAGUGAGAAGCACUUUACCUUAUCGCCUUCUCAUCCCCUAUGUAUCACUGCUGGGCUCUUACUGCAUUACAUUAUUAUUAUUAUUUGUUUAUUUAGCAGGUGGGAUUUGAACUGGGGACUUCCUGGUUACAAGCCCAUUUCUUUAAAUUUAAAUAUAUAUUUAAAAAACACACUGUUGUUUCAGGCUGCAGACAAUGCUCAGAUCCUGGACAGCAGGGCAGCUGUGGGACUCAACAGCUUCCUUUGGUCUCCAUGGGGUGUUUCUCCCCUCUAACCAAAUAAGAUUCUCCAACCUUCAGAGAGAAUACCAACUUGCUUCAAGUUUACUUUGUAGACGUUUGCCCAGAGACUUUCUACCAGCUAUGUUUUCUUAAUAAGGAUCUGUUUGCCUGUUUAAUAUCCCAUUACAGUAUAAGUGCUUUUCCAAUCAUUAUUUAACAGGUAGCCUAUACUAACUUUCUGAACUUGUAGAAGCUAUCACAAUUGCAAUGGGGUUGUUUUUAGCAAGGAUUGAUUGCCCACAAAGCACAUGGAACAGCAUCCCUUAACUUUGUUUAAAUAGAAAUCACAUGUUUAGGACAAACCCUGUCACAUAGAUUGCAAGUGCACAAACAGAUCUGUAACCUGCAUAUCAGAAGUGGCCGCUUCAAAUCCCUCGUCUGCCACUGACUGACACACUGUGUGACCUUGAGCAAGUCACUUAACCUCCUUGUGCUCCAUCCUGCGGAUGAGAUGUUAAAUCAAUGUCUUAUUGUAAGUGACUCUGCAUAUAAUGCACAGUUUACAGCCUACCUCUGUAAAGCACUUUGUGAUGGUGGUCCACUAUGAA